rnacentral:rRNA from 1 species
GACGAACGCUGGCGGCGUGCUUAACACAUGCAAGUCGAGCGGUAAGGCCCUUUCGGGGGUACACGAGCGGCGAACGGGUGAGUAACACGUGGGUGACCUGCCCUUAGCUCUGGGAUAAGCCUGGGAAACUGGGGUCUAAGUACCGGAUAUGACUCCAUGACGCAUGUUGUGGGGUGGAAAGCCUUGUGCGGCUAGGGAUGGGCCCGCGGCCUAUCAGCUUGUUGGUGGGGUGAUGGCCUACCAAGGCGACGACGGGUAGCCGGCCUGAGAGGGCGACCGGCCACACUGGGACUGAGACACGGCCCAGACUCCUACGGGAGGCAGCAGGUGGGGAAUCGUUGCGCAAUGGGCGAAAGCCUGACGCAGCGACGCCGCGUGGGGAUGACGGCC